UACGGGGGGGGCAAGCGUUGUUCGGAAUUACUGGGCGUAAAGGGCUCGUAGGCGGCCAACUAAGUCAGACGUGAAAUCCCUCGGCUUAACCGGGGAACUGCGUCUGAUACUGGAUGGCUUGAGGUUGGGAGAGGGAUGCGGAAUUCCAGGUGUAGCGGUGAAAUGCGUAGAGUAUCUGGAGGAACACCGGUGGCGAAAGGCGGCAUCCUGGACCAA
rnacentral:rRNA from 1 species